rnacentral:rRNA from 1 species
AUUGAACGCUGGCGGCAUGCCUAACACAUGCAAGUCGAACGGCAGCACAGUCGUAGCAAUACGAUGGGUGGCGAGUGGCGGACGGGUGAGGAAUGCAUCGGAAUCUGCCCGAUCGUGGGGGAUAACGCAUCGAAAGGUGCGCUAAUACCGCAUGAGAUCGAGAGAUGAAAGCGGGGGACCUUCGGGCCUCGCGCGAUCGGAUGAGCCGAUGCCGGAUUAGCUAGUUGGCGGGGUAAGAGCCCACCAAGGCGACGAGCCGUAGCUGGUCUGAGAGGAUGAGCAGCCACACUGGGACUGAGAGACGGCCCAGACUCCUACGGGAGGCAGCAGUGGGGAAUAUUGGACAAUGGGCGCAAGCCUGAUCCAGCAAUGCCGCGUGUGUGAAGAAGGCCUUCGGGUUGUAAAGCACUUUUAUCGGGAGCGAAAAGCGGACGGUGAAUACCCGUCCGUGCUGACGGUGCCCGAGGAAUAAGCACCGGCUAACUUCGCGCCAGCCGC